rnacentral:rRNA from 1 species
CCUACGGGAGGCAGCAGUGAGGAAUAUUGGUCAAUGGGCGCGAGCCUGAACCAGCCAAGUAGCGUGAAGGAUGACUGCCCUACGGGUUGUAAACUUCUUUUAUAAAGGAAUAAAGUGAGGCACGGGUGCCUGUAUGUAUGUACUUUAUGAAAAAGGAUCGGCUAACUCCGUGCCAGCAGCCGCGGUAAUACGGAGGAUCCGAGCGUUAUCCGGAUUUAUGGGGUUUAAAGGGAGCGUAGACGGGUUGUUAAGUCAGUGGUGAAAGUUUGCGGCUCAACCGUAAAACUGCAAUUGAUACUGGCAGCCUUGAGUACAGUUGAGGUAUGCGGAAUGCGUGGUGUAGCGGUGAAAUGCUUAGAUAUCACGCAGAACUCCGAUUGCGAAGGCAGCUUACUAACCUGCCACUGACAUUGAUGCUCGAAAGUGUGGGUAUCAAACAGGAUUAGAUACCCCAGUAGUC